CGGGGAUGGCAGCGAAGGCCCCUCCAGGGCCUGGGAGCACUCGACGCAGUGGCCGGCGCCUACAGAGCCCUACCCAGCCGCUGCCCCUGCAGAGACCUCCAACUACUUGGCAAUCCCCGACAGAGCCCCCAAAUCCACGCUGAUGCCGAAGCUGUCCUCGGUCCCCAACCCAGGCAGUGCAUCCUUUGGGACCCCCUUUGUCCCCAGCCCAGCCAGCGCCUCUUUUGGGGCUCCAUCAGCCCCCGACCCAGGUGCUGUGUCCUUUGGGACCUCCAUGGUCACCACUGUGACCAGCUCAUCCUUUGGCUAUCCAUCAGCCUCCAGCCAGGCCAGCACAUCACUUGGGAACCCCUUGGUUUCCAACUCCAACAAGUCUUUUGGGGCACCUCUGGUGCCCAACCUGUGCAGCACAUCCUUCGGGAACCCCCUGCUCCCAAAUCCAUCCAGUGCAUCCUUCCAGAACCCCUUGAUCCCAAAUCCAUCCAGUGCAUCCUUUGGGAACCCCCUGCUCCCAAAUCCAUCCAGUGCAUCCUUUGGGAAUCCCUUGAUCUCAAAUCCAUCCAGUGCAUCCUUUGGGAAUCCCUUGGUUCCAAAUCCAUCCAGUGCAUCCUUUGGGAACCCUUUGAUCAGCAACCCAGUCCCCAUUUCGCUUGGGCGUCCAUCAGCCUCCCACAUGGCCGGCUCUUUCUUUGGAUCCCCUUUUGUCCCCAGCCCGGCCAGCGCUCCGCUGGGAUCUGGUGCCUAUCCCCUUCCUGCCGGGGAAGUGCCCUGGAGCAAGCCCAGCCCUGAGCCCCCCCUGCCCCGACCCCCUGAGGGCCCGGCUGCUGUGGAGCCCCCGGGCCAGCCCCACCUGGAGGAUGCUCCUCAUUUCCUCAGGAGCACCGACGGCCCCUCUCCGAGUGGGAGGAGCAGGCAGAGCCCCCCCAGGCCCUUCCCGGCGCAGCGGAGGAUGCUCGUGGAUCCCAGCAGCGGGAAGUGCUACUACAUGGAGCCGCCGCGGCAGCCCCAGAUGAAAACGCUCUACGACCCCGAGACCGGGCAGUACCUGGAGGUGCUGGUCCCACCGGUGGC
rnacentral:lncRNA from 1 species